GACGAACGCUGGCGGCGUGCUUAACACAUGCAAGUCGAACGGUGAAGCGCCUUCCUUUUUGGUGGGUGUGGAUGAGUGGCGAACGGGUGAGUAACACGUGAGUAACCUGCCCCCUUCUGCUGGAUAACCGCAUGAAGGUGUGACUAAUACGGAAUAUUCUGAGUCUGUCGCUUGAUGGGUCUGGGAAGGAUUUUGUUUCGUUGGGGGAUGGUCCCGCGCCGCAUUAGCUUGUUGGUGGGGUAAUGGCGUACCAAGGCAGCGAUGGAUAGCCGACCUGAGAGGGUGAUCGGCCACCACGGAACUGAGACGCGGUGCAGACGCCUACGGCAGGCAGCAGUAGGGAAUCAUCCGCAAUGGGCGAAGGCCUGACGGAGCAACGCCGCGUGAGUGAUGAAGGUCUUCGGAUCGUAAUACUCUGUUAUUAGGGAAGAACAAAUGUGUAAGUAACUGUGCACGUCUUGACGGUACCUAGUCAGAAAGCCACGGCUAACUACGUG
rnacentral:rRNA from 1 species